CCAGUAGCCCUGUCUGAUAGCACCUGCCCAGCCCACUGCCCCGAGUUACCUGGUUGAGCACAACCCAGUUUGGGUCAAUCUGAGCAUCACCCUCAGGAUCCAGGACGACGGUCUGAUAGGCCCGAAAAUCCGUAAGCGUUACCUCUGCACUUUCAGGACACACAUCCAGGGGGUCGACCACAGCAUCAUUGUCAAAGUCAUCCUCACACACAUCACCAACGCCAUUGCCUGGGCAGAGUGAGGCUGGGUGCUCAGGAAGGCCCUGGCCACUGCCAUUAGGCAACAAUACCAUCUGUUGGGCCUGCAUUCCUGACAUCUUUCCCCACCUUGCCCUUCCUCACUUCCCAACAGGGCUUGCUGCCUCCACCUGGGCAAAGGCAACACCAGUCUAACGUGCUCUGGGUCCGCAGGCUUACCAUCUGAGUCCUUCUGAUUGGGAUUGGGUACCAGGCGGCAGUUAUCGGGACCAGGAGGCACAUAAUCUGGGAUGCCAUCAUUGUCAUCAUCCCCAUCACACUCAUCUCCAAGUCCAUCGUUAUCAGAGUCCAGCUGGGAGCUAUUUGGCAGCUGUGGGCAGUUGUCCUUGGUGUCCUGAUGCCCAUCCCCAUCGCUAAUCAGAAGAACAGGUUGGUGAAAGUCCCGAACUUUGUCUCCCCACCCAGAGGACAACUGGCCAGGAAAUCUGCCUGUUUCUUGUCUCACCCUCUAGUCCACACUCUGCCUAACACUACGCCCUACCUCACAUUCCUAUUGACAUCUGCUGCAGGUAAUCUCUCCUCACCCAGGCCAACGUCCACAAGCCUGCCUCCCUAUUUCACAGAGACUUCCUAGCUUCCCUGCUUCAUCCCCACCUGAUCCAAAUUCUCACAGGUCCCCCAGCCACCCCUUCAGCCCCAGGCCUGCACCAUCCCCAUCCACGUCGUUGUCACAGGCAUCUCCUUCCCCAUUGCCAUCUGUGUCCUUCUGGUCAUUGUUGGGAACGUUGGGGCAAUUGUCACAGGCAUCACCAAAUGAAUCUGUAUCUGAGUUCUGCUGGUCUUUGUUGGGGAACAGCCGGCAGUUGUCCUGGGCAGAGGGGUGGGAGGGGAAGGGUCAGGUCUCCCCUAAAUCACUUGUCAUCUUGCACCUACCUUGUCUCUGUAUCCUUUUCUAAGAUCACACCCUUGUGAUGGACAAACUGCUCAGUACAGUCCCACCCACCCAGCCUCCUUGUCCUGGGCACGAGGUUUUUGCCUCCCUGAUUUGGAGUAUUUGGCCCUUACUAGAGAGCUGCCAGAUGAGGUAAGUGAGGCACAGAGAGGACAGGAGGAGGGGAGAGGAGCUUCAAGGGGCAGGGCAGUCUGGGAGUCACCUCAACAUUCUUGAUCCCAUCCCCAUCAGCAUCAUCAUCACACUGGUCCCCCACACCAUCAUUAUCAGCAUCUUCCUGCCCAGAGUUGGGUGUCAAAAGGCAGUUGUCCUAAAGUUCAGGGGAAGAGGAUGGAUGAGUUCUGGCCUGACCCAGCUUGGGCUCCCCACUACGCCCCCUUGCCCGCCUGCUCCCUGCACCUGUUUGCAGUGUUUGUUGUUGUCCAUGCAGGGCAGUGCUUGGUCUGGGUAGCCAUCGAUGUCUGUGUCAGUCCCACACACGUUCCCAUUCCCAGCCCAGCCCACGUUACACUAGGGCAACACAAAGGGUAGGAGCUAGCAGUUUGGUCUGGCUCCC
rnacentral:lncRNA from 1 species